UUUUGAAAUUUUGUUAAAAAAUUUGAAUUAAAUUGGGUACUAAUUCCAUAAUAGAACUCAAUGAGUAUGUGAGAUACAACUUUUGCACAGUUCAACAACAUUUCAAAGCAAAUUAUAGAAAUACUAAAUAUAAAUAGUUUUACCCCUAAUAAAUGUAAACAUGUUUUUAGCCUCAACCUUGAUUUUGUGACAUUGUCUUUUUUCUACCUAUUCCUGUUGACAAAAAAGUGCCUUACCUUCAGUGAAAAUUGAUCGAGACCAGGUGGUAAUCUUAAUCCAAAAUUUGAAUGCAGGCUAAAUUUUAGGAACCAUUUUCCCGAUGGUGGUACUAUAGCAUCCAUCUAAAUCUUUCCUGUUUUGUCUCUGUUUGUCUGUGAUCAUCGUAAGAGAGAGAUUAAAAAAGACGAGAAAACUGAAACCAUCUCACAUCACUGUAUUAAAGCAGAGACAGAUAUGCUGACAGUGAGGCAUAAUCAAAGAAACAACAAGGCAAAUCAUAAAAACAUACAGUCAAGACAAAGUUACAUAACACAAAACACUUCUCCAAAAUCUUCAUUGUGGCAGCAACAAAUGCAGUAAUUUCCUUGCAUUGCCUGAAACCUCAGUUUUAAUACGCAGUUAGUUAAAAAAAUAGUUUUCAAGUAAGUGUUCAAUAGGUGUUGUUUUGCUAGUGAAAUUAGCUUUAUGCUCUCUUUUUUUUUGUUAAAUUAACACCCCUGUCCAAUCUUUUUAUUUUUACCAAAACUUUGUUUCAUUACCAGAAUACAUUACUACCUUCAAGGUGCAUAUGUUGGUGGGAAAUGUUCAAAAGUGCAGAGAUUAGAGAAUCACCCUCCUACUAAACUGCACACUCCACACACUGACUUAUUGCAACAUAGUCAGUGAAAGUAAAUGUGACUGCAUGUACAGUGUGUGUGUGAGUGUGUGAGUUGUGUGUUUGCUAGCACGCCCCAUUUCUUGCCGUAAGGAUGUGGUUUACCGAGUGCAACAACUUUAUGCCGGAAGCUCCACGGUUUCUAUCAAGUUAUCAUCCACUACAUUUUUUCUCUCUCACUGCGAGGUAUUCAGUCUCGCUCUCCGUAAGCCAGAGCCCAGCAGUGUUUGUCAUAGUGUUUUUCGUAGCUGUUACCAUGUUCCCCAGGGUGAUUAUGAAGGCAACUAUGAUUAAAAAAUCUCAACAAAAGAAAAGAACAUCACCAUGCAACUACAAGGAGAGGUUUUUUGUAUUGGACACGCAAGACCUGAAGUAUUCUGAACGCCGUCCCGGGAAAAAGCCCAUGUUGAAAGGUUGCAUCGCGCUGUCCAGAAUCAAGUGUGUGGAGAUCGUGUGCAGUGAUGUCCCCAUACCGUGCAACUAUAAGUACCCUUUUCAGGUUUUUCACGACCAUUACCUCUACAUUUUUGCCCCAGACAAUGAUUGUCGUCAGAGAUGGGUCCGAGCUCUCAAAGAGGAGACAAAGCAUAACAAUUUGGUUGCAAAAUACCACCCAAACUUCUGGAUGGAUGGAAAAUGGAGAUGUUGCCAACAAACAGAGAAGCUGGCGGCAGGUUGUCAUGUAUAUGACCCAAUAGGCUACGCGUCUAAAAAGCCACUUCCUCAACUCCCGGAUCUAGAGGUACCACUUUCUAAAAUUGGGCUGCAUGAUGCAGGACAGAGGAUGGUCAUCGCUCUGCAAGACUACACGCCGCAUGGAGACGACGACUUGCCUCUUCAGAAAGACCAGGCGUAUAAAUUGAUUAACAGCUCCCACUCUGACUGGUGGUCCGUAGAGGAUGACAAGGGGAACAAAGGCUUUGUACCCAGUACUUACGUAGCUGAAAAAUCUGGCAACAACUAUGAGAGAUUUGAAUGGUACAACAAAAACAUAACCAGAGGGGAAGCAGAGGACUUGUUAAUGAAACAGGGAAAAGAAGGUGCAUUCAUGGUGCGUGACUCAAGACAAGCGGGUGUCUACACAGUGUCAGUCUUCACCAAAGCACCAGGGUCUAAUGGCGAGAAGAAUCCAAGAGUGAAACAUUACCAAAUCAGACAGACAGAAACUGGGGAGGCCACAUUUUACUUGGCAGAGAAGUACCUGUUCAGCACCAUUCCUGAGCUCAUCCAUUACCAUCAACACAAUGCUGCUGGCCUGAUAACACGCUUGAGACACCCUGUCUCUCAAGAUGGAGGCUGCUCCCAGGACACUGCUGAUCCCUCAAUAGAUCACUGGGAAGUGGACCCUGAGGAGCUGACCUUGGGUCAGGAGUUAGGCAGCGGCCAGUUUGGGCUGGUGCUGGAAGGGAGAUGGAGGCAGAGGAAAGUGGCGGUGAAGAUGGUAAGAGAAGAGUGCAUGUCAGAUGAGGAAUUUAAAGAAGAGGCGAGAAUUAUGAUGAGAUUGUCCCAUUGUAAGCUUGUUCAGCUCUACGGUGUGUGCACCCAGCGUUCUCCCAUGUGUCUGGUGUCUGAGUUCAUGGAGAACGGCUGUCUGUCGGACUACCUGCGAGCCAGGAAAGGACGUUUGUCUCAGGACAUGAUGUUGGGGAUGUGUCUGGAUGUCAGUGAGGGGAUGGCUUACCUGGAGAGCUCCAACUUCAUCCACAGAGAUCUGGCUGCCAGGAACUGUCUUGUUUCAGAGAACAAUGAGGUGAAGGUAUCUGACUUUGGUAUGACCAGAUUUGUGUUUGAUGAUCAGUACACAAGCUCCCAGUGCUCCAAGUUCCCUGUCAAGUGGUCGGCCCCAGAGGUCAUCAAAUACUGCAAGUUCAGCAGCAAGUCCGACAUCUGGUCAUUCGGAGUCUCCCUGUUCACCCCUGCUCAGGUGUGCUCAUGUGGGAGGUGUAUAGCGAGGGCCGUCUUCCUUACGAGAACCGCUCAAAUGCUGAGGUGGUGGCGUCCCUGAACUCAGGCCUGCGGCUCCUGAAGCCACGCUUGGCCCCAGAUGCUGUCCACCUACUCAUGGAGUGGUGCUGGAAGGAGAAACCAGAAGAUCGUCCAUCCUUUGCUCUCCUCCUGCAUGAGCUGGCCUCCCUCUCAGACCCGUGAAGCAACAUAAGAUUUGAGGUUGAUAACUAUAAAAAUAGCUAUAUUUAUUUUAUUUAUUGAUUGAUUACUAAUUGCUUGUCAACUGUUUUUCAAAUGAUGAUUACGAAACACAAGACAGUUUCAAAUUCUGGGAUUUUGCACUUUAUCUGUUUCAUACCUCUGUAUCCAGUCUUUUCUUGAGAUGGCUCACACAGUCCAUUCACACUGCUCACUGCAGGUUGAUGUUAAGGUUUCAAAUGUUCUAUGAGGUCUCUGUACAUUGAGGUGAGAUGGUUAUGUUGUUUAACCCACUGUUAAUUAAAUUAAUCCGUUGUCAUUAAA